GAUGAACGCUAGCGGCAGGCCUAAUACAUGCAAGUCGGACGGGAUCCAUUGAUAGCUUGCUAUCAAUGGUGAGAGUGGCGCACGGGUGCGUAACGCGUGAGCAACCUGCCUCCAUCAGGGGGAUAGCCUCUCGAAAGAGAGAUUAACACCGCAUAAUAUCAACAGUUCGCAUGUUCAGUUGAUUAAAUAUUUAUAGGAUGGAGAUGGGCUCGCGUGACAUUAGCUAGUUGGUAGGGUAACGGCUUACCAAGGCGACGAUGUCUAGGGGCUCUGAGAGGAGAAUCCCCCACACUGGUACUGGGACCCGGACCAGACUCCUACGGGAGGCAGCAGUAAGGAAUAUUGGUCAAUGGGCGGAAGCCUGAACCAGCCAUGCCGCGUGCAGGAUGACUGCCCUAUGGGUUGUAAACUGCUUUUGUCCAGGAAUAAACCUAAAUACGAGUAUUUAGCUGAAUGUACUGGAAGAAUAAGGAUCGGCUAACUCCGUG
rnacentral:rRNA from 1 species